rnacentral:lncRNA from 1 species
CUGCCUUUUCUAGGGCCACUUCCCGCACCAUGUGGAGGUUCCCAGGCUGGGAGUCGAAUCGGAGCUGUAGCUGCCGGCCUGCGCCAGAGCCACAGCAACGCGGGAUCCGAGCCGCAUCUGCGACCUACACCACAGCUCACGGCAAUGCUGGAUCUUUAACCCACUGAGCAAGGCCAGGGAUCGAACCCACAACCUCAUGGUUCCUAGUCGGAUUCGUUUCCGCUGCACCACAAUAGGAACUCCUACGAGGUCUUUUUCAAUCAGACACACCUAGGGCUCGUGGAAGGAAAUGCAGUUUUCUCCAACCUUUGUGUGGUGUGGGUAUGACGGUGUUAGGGAAAACGGAGACAUAGCCAACACGCUCAAUGCUACAGUUAGAGGAGCAGCUGCUGCUGGAGCCACAGAUGUUCAAUUCUGUCCACUCCACUCCCACUAGGAUAGAGACUGGCACUCUGUCCCUAUCCUAACAGACAAGACCCCGUGCAAAUACGGUAUUAGGAUUUGCACGGGUUAAGAUUCUGUUUCUCCAAGACCCUUCCAAACGAAAACUCAACCUCAACUGAUUUCUUCAGCUUAGAGAAACAAGGAAGAUUCUUUUUAGGACCAGGCUUCCAUAGGACCCUGAGAUAUCUUUGGAAUAAAAGAUGAAGUCAGACUCAGGGGGGUUUCAGCAAUCAGUGUGAGUUACCAGAACAUCACUGCUCACCUAUAAGAGGAGAGAUUGAAUAUCUCUAAUAAAACUUUCACCUCUAGAAAAAAAUACUGAGAAUUUAAAAAAAAUUCAUCGCUGACAAAUAGCAAGUGUAUCCACAUAACCAAACUAAUACUAAAUAGAAAUCUCAUUUCUAAAAUAAACUUCAGGAGUUCCUAUUGUGGCACAGCAGACACGAAUCUAACUAGGAACCAUGAGGUUGCAGAUUCGAUCCCUGGCUUUGGUCGGGGGGGUUAAGGAUCUGGCAUUGCCAUAAGCUGUGGUUUAGGUAGCAGACGUGGCUGGGAUCCUGGAUUGCUGUGGCUGUGGCACAGGCCAGUGGCUACAGCUCUGAUUAGACCCCUAGCCUGGGAACUUCCAUAUGCUGCAGGUGUGGCCCUAAAAAGACAAAAAAAUAAAAUAAAAUAAAAAUAAAAAUAAAUAAAGCAAACUUCAGAAAUAAGAGCUUUAGUUUAUUAAUGCAUUAAUAUAAUUCAUUCAUAUCAUAUUCAUUCAUAAUAAACUGUAACUAAAAUAGUUGACACAUUUUAUGCCUUUAAUGUACAUGUUUAAUGUACUGUAAUUUUCCUAAAAACUACUUUCCUUUCCUCAGUGUACGAUUUUAAAAAAAUAAAUAAAUGCACCUGGGCAGAAAAGGACACCCCUAGGCUUGCUAACUUAUCUAACUAAGUUCAGAGUGAAGAAUGACCCAAAUGCAACAGAUGAAAGUCAGUUUUCUAAAGGACCACAAAAUUCAACUUUCAAAACAAUGGGGGAAGGCACUUUCCCAAAGGACAGCUGGGGUCGACCUAAUUACUUACCUAUACGGGAAAUAAUGCCGCUCUUAAAAUGGAGAACAGACUUGUGGUUGCCAAGAAGGAGUGGGAGGGAGUGGGAUGGACUGGGAGCUUGCGAUUAGUAGAUGCAAACUAUUACAUUGAGAAUGGAUAAGCAGUGAGGUCCUGCUGUAUAGCACAGGAAACUACAUCUAAUCACUUGCGAUAGAACAUGAUAGAAGAUAACAUGAGAAAAAGAAUGACUAUACCUGAAUGACUGGGUCAUGUGGCUGUACAGCAGAAAUUGAUAGAACACUGUAAAUCGACUAUACUUCAAUUUAAAAAAUUUUAAAAACCUUACUAGGAAAAAAAAAAUCUAGAAUCUUCAGGCAUUGCCUUGGAAUGUAUCAUUUCGGGUGAGCUACCAAAAGUCCAGAGGUGUGUAAGGGAAGCAUCUUAGGUACAUUCUCCCAUCAGAGAACACUCUUCAGCCUCACCCUUUAGAAUCCUUCAGAAAACAAGCCUGUUAAAUGAGAGGUCCUCUACUUUUCGUGUGCGGCCAGGCCACAGGCAACCAAGGUCCAGGCUUUCCCAUUUAAAGGACGGUAGGCUCUCCCCACAGAAUGCAAGUGCAAUGAGAAGAGGUGUGAAAAGUCUUCUACCAGGUACUGAUUACCUUCUCAGGACUUCCAAACACCCUCCUCAAAUCGCACUCACCCUUGGACCUGCCCUCACAAAGUUAAGAGCACAAAAGUGCCCCUAACAGACUGCCUGUCACACGCCACUUGCCAUUUUCCUGUCCCCUUCUGGUGGUAUAGGUGACUGAUGUGUCCAUUUUGAAUGGGACAAGGACAGAUCCCAAAGUUUAUUUUAUGUUUUUAUUUUCAUUAUUAUUUUUGUCUUUUUGCCUUUUCUAGGGCUGCUCCCUCAGCAUAUGGAGCUUCCCAGGCUAGGGGUUGAAUCGGAGCUGUAGCCGCCGGCCUACACCAGAGCCACAGCAACUCAGGAUCCAAGCCACGUCUGUGACCUACACCACAGUUCAUGGCAACGCCAGAUCCUUAACCCACUGAGCAAGGCCAGGGAUCGAACCCGCAACCUCAUGGUUCCUAGUCGGAUUCGUUAACCAUUGCACCACGACGGGAACUCCCCUAAGGCAUCAUUACCAAGUCACCGAGCUCCAAGACUAUGCCUCAGCCUGGUAACAGAAGGACAACCAAGAUGCUGGCAUAGCUUGCAGAAUACAAACCUGUAGUUUGGUAAUGGGCAGCUGGCCGACUGCAGAGUCUGUCGGUCUGUAAUGACAGAGCAUGCCCAGCGAUGGCCCACGACUAAAGAUGACAAGUGUCCUUCUCCAACAUGCAGAGAGGAAACAGAAGUCUAACCCUCAAUUCCACAGUGCUUUUACAGGCAAAGGGCCUGUCAGCUGGCACAGAGUAAGAGCUUAAAGCACACGUUUUUCUUUUAAGUUCAAAACGCCACUGUAGAACUGCUGUACAAAAAUACCAGUGCAUAGACCUGAGUAACUGACAACCUUCUUAUGAGUUAAAUUUACCUUUCAACCUAAAUGUCUCGGAUAUGGACUCUAAUACCUCCACAUCAGCUUUGGCCAUGACUCACAGGAGCAGUUCUCAGGGUACAAGGUGGGGUUCUAGGGCACCAGCUUCAGUAUCAAAUGGAUACUUGUUAGAACUAUAAAUGCUCAGACCCCAUCCCAGAUCUAUAGAAACAAAAACUUUGGAUGGGGGACCCAGUGACCCAUGCUGUAACCAGCUUCCCAGAUGGGUGUGAUGCCCACUAAGGUUUGAGGACAAGCUCAGAGGAGAAUGAAGACACAAAAGUGAAAAAAGUACAAGAUAUUUAGAGGAAACAGGGAUACGGAAAGAACACUUAGCUCAGGUAGCAAAGAGCGUGAGGAAAUGUAUCAGAAAUAAAAGAUAAAAGGUUUAAAAGCAGGAAAUUUAAGACACUGAAGCCCAAAUUCUACCUGGGAACUGUGAGCUCCUGAAAGUUUGGGGGCAAGAAGUGAGAGCAUUAGAAAGGUGGGUUUGGGGAGUUCCCGUCGUGCCUCAGCUGUUAACGAAUGUGACUAGCAUCCAUGAGGACAUAGGUUCAAUCCCUGGCCUUGCUCAGUGGGUUAAGAAUCCAGCAUUGCUGUGAGCUGUGGUGUAGAUUGCAGGCAUAGCUUGGAUCUGGCAUUGCUGUGGCUGUGGUACAGGCCAGUGGCCACAGCUCUGAUUUGAUCCCUAACUUGGGAACCUCCAUAUGCCAUGAGCGUGGCCCUAAAAAACAGAAGAGAAAAAAAAAAAGUUGGGUUAGGAAGAGGUGGGGAGACUUGAUGGAAGGCUAUUCUAGAGCCAAGUAGUGAAAUAAGGACAAGGGUGGAAUUUAUAAGGUCUCAGGGCUGGGAAUUUCAGUAAGACUUGGCCACAGAGACAUGUCACUGUCAUCAGUUGUAGAAAUAGCAAUGAAAUAGCUAAGUGUGGGAGAAGACCAGCCAGUGUUGCUUAUGGCUUGAGGUACCACCAGUGUCCAAGGAAAAUGUCUCUCAGGUGAUUAGAAUAUUGAACUCGAAGUUCCCCUUGUGGCUUCUAGGUAAUGAACCCGACUAGUAUCCAUGAGGAUGCAGGUUUGAUCCCUGGCCUCGCUCAGUGGGUUAAGGAUCCAGUGUUGCUGUGAGCUGUGUCAUAGGUCGCAGACACCACUCAGCUCUGGCAUUGCUGUGGCUGUGUCGUAGGCCAGCAGGUGCAACUCCGAUUCCACCCCUAGCCCGGGAACUUCCAUAUGCCACAGGUUCGGUACUCAAAAAAGAAAGAAAAAAAAAAAAAAAAAAGGAUAGUGAAAGAGAGUGUAGAGCCAGAAAAAACCAAUUAGGGGUGAUACAUGCGAAAAUGAUCACCUGGAGCCACAAAGUUAAGUGACAUUGCCAAGGGGGUAAACAUAAAGGAAAAAAAUAAUAAUAAUUUAAGUCAAUGUUCCAUUGUAUGUUCAAUGUAAAAUUUCACAUAUAAAAUGUAAAAUUCUCCCACAUUCACUAACCUAGCACUAAAUGAACCUUGGCCUCCAUGGGAGAACCAUCCAAGUCCCCAAAUGGGAAAUCUGGCGUUUAGAUUAGCCUGCCGAUAGAGAGAGGGAAAUGCAUAAUUGAAGCACAAAAGCUCUGCCUGAAGACAACUCUAAUUUUACUUUAGGUUUUACUAUAAGGAAGACUUGAAGGCAAGGAUUACCGAUUGUAUUUGUUUCAAUGGAAUCUCUAAGUUAGCUCUAAUUACCUUAUCAGCGAGAAUGAGUGUGUUGCGAAAGUGAGUGUGUUGCGAGAAUGAGUGCGUUACGUACGAGGAGCCUGCAGAAGAGGAAACGAGGGCUGGACUCAUCUUUAGUCUACGAGUACAAAGCCUCUCGAUUUCACUCUGCUAGCAAUCAAUGAGUCCUUUCCUCAGAAACUCCCAGAACUACCAAGACCCACAGGGAGCACCCUCCAUGCCAGCUCCCUGCCCCUCUGACUCCCUCACCCCGCAGCUGACCACUGCCUUCAGAAAUCCUGGAGUUCCCGUCACAGCUCAGUGGGGAGCCAGGAGGCUCCCUAAUGAAGCCCUAAUGAAUCUGACUAGGAACCAUGAGGUUGCAGGUUCGAUCCCUGGCCUUGCUCAGAGGGUUAAGGAUCCGGCAUUGCCAUGAGCUGUGGUGUGGGUCGCAGACGUGGCUCGGACCCCGUGUUGCUGUGGCUCUGGCGUAGGCCGGUGGCUACAGCUCCGAUGAGACCCCUAGCCUGGGAACCUCCAUGUGCCGCAGGAGCGGCCCUAGAAAAGGCAAAAAACAGACCAAAAAAAGAAAAAAAAAAAAGAAAUCCUGCCAAGAGCAAGCAAAGGAGGCAAGGCAGCGUCAGGGAAAGCUCCACCUCUGUCACUUAUCUUUAAGUCACUAAAAAGUUGCAGCCCAGAAACAGACCCACGGGAAUACAGCUGACCCCCAAACGACGGAGGGGCAACAACCCUCCACAUGUAAACUUGGACUUGGCGCUGUGUAUCCCUGGUCCUUCCUUAUCCAUCAAUGCCCCUACCUAUCAUGCAAACCAUUCAACCUAUCAGGGAUCAGGAAGUAUUGUAGGGUUUACUACUGAAAAAAUUUCACAUACACGUGGAUGUGCAGAAUUCAAGCCUGUGUUAUUUAAGGGAUAUGGUCAACUACAUCAGGUAGAGUCAACUGAUUUUUUUUUUUAACAAAGGGGCAAAGGGAGUACAAGGAGGAAAAAAUAGUCUUUCUGACACGUGGUGCUAGAACACCACCACCAUGGACACCCACAUGCCCCCCCAAAGAAGAGUCUAGACCCCAUGUAACACACUUCACAAAAAUUAACUCACAAUGGAGGACAAGACCUAAAUGCAAAACACAAAACGAUGAAACUCCUAGAAGGUAACACAGGAGAAAGUCUAAACAACCUUGGGUAUGACAAGGACUUUUUAUUUAUUUUUUAUUUAUUUUUAUUUUUUUGCUUUUUAGGGCCACACCCGUGGCAUACGGAGGGUCCCAGGAUAGGGGUCAAAUCGUAGCUACCACUGCUGGUCCAAGCCACUGCCGCAGCAACGUGAGAUCUGAGCUGAGUCUGCAACCUACACCACAGCUCACGGCAAUGAGCGAGGCCAGGGAUCGAACCUGCAUCCUCAUGGAUCCUAGUCGGAUUCGCUCAUCGCUAAGUCACGAAGGGAACUUUUUAGGCACAACCCCAACAGCACCUUCCAUGGAAGAAAUCACUGCUAAUAAUUCAUGAACAUUUCAAACCUCUGCUCUGUAAAAGACUCUGCCAAGAAAAUGAGAAGGAGACAAGAUCUACCGAAGACAUGUCUGAGAAAGGAUUAUAAUCCAAAGGCUGUGCAGCAAGUGAUCUUACUGGACACAGGGGCCACCUGGCCAUUGAGUUUAUGCGUGUUAAUUUUGCUGCCACCUCAUCUUUUCUCCCGUCCCAACCCUCUGGGCUUUGUUCUUAGUUGGAUCCUCUGACUGCUGGUACCCAAAUAUCUUCCCACAAUAAGAAGAAUAGUAGCAUAAUAAUAAUAAGAUAAUAAUAGGAAUAAGAAUAAUAAGUUCCUUCCAACUAAGGAUUUGAGAAGCAGGAUUUGAGAAGGAAGAAAUUCGCUUUUUCUUUUCAAUCCAGCAUGCACUUCUUUGUUAACUCUACUGAGGGAUAUGGCACCGUGGGGCCACUGAACCAGGAUGAAAUAAACAACAGUGGAGUGGUAUCGAGUGGCCCGUGAGUAGCAGCUAUCUGGAGAAUAAACUCCAUCAAGGCCAUCCCUCUUACCUUGUAUGGUAAGGCUGCUGGGAAUUCCCACUCCCCCAGGGUCCUUUGGGACUCCAACACUUGUUUAUACAAAGGUUCUAAAAUGUGCAGGCCCAGCCCCAGGGGGCACUGCUUGCAAAGUGACAGAUGCUCAGUUGUUUUUCCUUCCUCUCACCGGCUCUCUUUCAGGGCAACUACUCUUCAUUUCUUCUCUAGGUGCCACGUAUGUCUAUUUCUAUACCUAGAAGAAAAUCCACCUGCCUUGGCCAAACACAUACUGGGCACACUUGUACAACGUGGAAAUGAAAAAUGGGAGGGUAAAUGAAUACACUUCGAGUGGAUGGCUGUCUUCUCCUGAUGUGUGGGACGGUUCACUCCAGCUUUGAAGGGCUAUUUUCUCUCUCUUUGUAAAAAGACUAAGGACCCUUAAUCUAGUAUGUAGGGCGUAUAUGGAAGGUUUUAAGGGAUCCAUCAGCCUCUUGAUUGUUUAAAAAGCAAAAUCAAGUCUAGCUGUAUAGCUUUCAUCAAAUUCUCCAAGUAGUUUGUGAUCCAAAAACAGCCUAAGUACCAUUAUACUAGGCUCUACAGGGAAAUCCAGAAACACUUCUUCCAUCCUAAAAACCAAACCCUCAAGUCACAUAGACCAUAAAGCUAUAACCUUAAAAACAUAAAAUCUGUCCUUUCAUAUCCAAGUAUUUGUUAUGUGCCCUACUAUAUUCCACCAAAUAUUUCAAAGGAUCAAUAUUUGAGACUCUUUAAUAAUUCAGUUACACACCUCCUCCGCAAUAAUAAACUCAUACAUCACUUAACACUUGUAUAUAAACAUCCUUUGAUCAUCGCAAAAAGAUGUAAAGUAGCUCUGACUAUUCAUGUUUUCAAAGUAUGGAAACAGACUUACAUAAAGUCAAAAUGCUUUCUCAAGGUUAUGGUAUUAGUCAGCUGGGGUUUGAACUUAGGGCUUCCAAGGCCAAAAAUAGUGAUAACACUCUGUAAAAUACUAGGUUAAAAAAUAGCAAUUGGACUAUAAGACCGAAAUUUGAUUAGUGCUUGCCUAGAAUUGAGUAGGGGGGAAGGGGGCUGGGGAGUGGCUGCUAGUGCAUACAGGGUACUUUUUCCAGGGGCCUGAUAAAAAAGUUCUAAAAUUAGAGUGUGGUGAGGGCUGCACAACUCCGAAUAUACUAAAAACCCCUGAAUUGUGCACUUUUUAGAUGGACGAACUAUAGGGCAUGUGAAUUAUCUCUCAAUAAUGCUGUUAAAAAAAAAUCCAUUGAAAACUGGAGGAGGGAAAUCAAUUUUUAGUAUGUUGUCAUCUUUAAGAUCAAAAUGAGUACACCUCAAAACUCAGAGAGGUGUUUUGCUUCCCCACGUAUUUACAAUUCAUUUCACAUUGGCAAGUUCAGUAGUAACUGGAAAAGUUGGCUUCCUAGGCCUGGAUUAAUUCCAACGUGGUCAGAACGGGGCUGAAAAACUCUUGCGUGUCCUCUCUCUGCCCCCUCCUGUAGAAUGGGGACCACACUGCUUAUUUGCACUCUGACUUAGAGAGGUCUAAAAAUCGAGACAAAAAUCUAACACUCAGAAAGCUUUCCUAAGUCAUUAUGGGUCAUUACGGGUAUAGAAAGAGAAAAUUAUACCCAUGUCAUGAGAAGUCCUCUUGAACACAGCAAAUCAAGCGUAUCUUUAAACCACAGUUUCAUUCUUCCAUUUCCCUUUUCAGAAAUGUUCAACGGUCUCCUAUUAUUCAUUAAAUCCCAAAUCCUCUGCCUGGUCCCACACCCCACCUCAGGUCCCACCUUUGGCCACAGCUUCAAGGUCAAUCACCGCCCUGUCACUGUCUUACACUCAACACUAUCUCCAAGUUAGGGGAGAUACUCUAAGCAAUGCCUUCCUUUCUCCCCUCUACCUUCCAAACUCUUCCAUCUUUUAAGCCCCACCUCAAAUUUUCACCUCCUUCUUGGUCAUUCAGCCUUGACUCUCAACUCCCACGUCCAUACCUCCCACCUUUAAGAUCAAAAUGAGUACACCUCAAAACUCAGAGAGGUGUUUUGCUUCCUCAUUGGCCCUUGCACCAAACUCAGAGAGGUGUUUUGCUUCCCCAUUGGCCCUUGCACCAAAUCUGGAAACUUUGUUUCCACCAUCAUUCUUUGGGGACAAGAUCCCACAGGACAAGCACCUGGGCCAGAACUAAGCAUGAAGUAGAUAACUUAGUCGCUAAGUUACCAGGAUGGAUUUACUCCCCAAUUCCAAUCAGUCAUGCCAAAACAGUCUAAAAAUAAACCAGCUUCUCCAUUAGCAAUCCAUGAAACACUCUUGAAAGUAUCUGUGUAUGUGAUGGUUAAGAUAAUGUGUGAUUUAAGAGUUUUCUACUAAGGUGCUUUACUAUUCUAAAUCACUUAGUUUGUUACACCAAAUUUUGUUAGACUUACGGAAAUGCUUCAAAAAUGACAUCUGAGGGAGUUCCCCUUGUGGGUCAGUGGUAAAGAACUAGUAUCCAUGAACAUGCAGGCUGGAUCAGUGAGUUAAGGAUUCAGUGUUGCCUUGAGCUGCGGUGUCUGUUGCAGAUGCAGUUUGGAUCUGACAUUGCUGUGACUAUGGCAGAGGCUGGCAGCUGUAGUUCUGACUCAACCCUUAGCCUGGGAACUUCCAUAUGCUGCAGGUAUGGCCCUAAAAAGACAAAAAAAAAAAAAAA